rnacentral:rRNA from 1 species
AUUCCAGCACCAAUAGCGUAUAUUAAAGUUGUUGCAAUUAAAACGCUCGUAGUCGAAUUUCAAGAAAAGAUAUCUGUUACAAUUUAAUUGUUUUACAGGUUGAAAUUCUUUACAUUUGGAGUAAGUUCAUUGAACGUAUUUCAAAAGUUUUACUUUGAAUAAAUUAGAGUGUUCAAAGCAGGCAAUUUGCUUGAAUACAUUAGCAUGGAAUAAUAGAAUAGGACUUUGGUUUUAUUUUGUUGGUUUUAAGAACCAAAGUAAUGAUUAAUAGGGAUAGUUGGGGGCAUUAGUAUUUAAAAGUCAGAGGUGAAAUUCUUGGAUUUUUUAAAGACUAACUAUUGCGAAAGCAUUUGCCAAGGAUGUUUUCAUUA